CCUACGGGAGGCUGCAGUGGGGAAUAUUGCACAAUGGGGGAAACCCUGAUGCAGCGACGCCGCGUGAGUGAAGAAGUAAUUCGUUACGUAAAGCUCUAUCAGCAGGGAAGAAAAUGACGGUACCUGAGGAAUCCGCCACGGCUAACUACGUUCCAGCCGCCGCGGUAAUACGUAGGUGGCAAGCGUUAUCCGGAUUUACUGGGUGUAAAGGGCGUGUAGGCGGGAAAGCAAGUCAGAUGUGAAAACCAUGGGCUCAACCUGGGGCCUGCAUUUGAAACUGUUUUUCUUGAGUACUGGAGAGGCAGACGGAAUUCCUAGUGUAGCGGUGAAAGGCGUAGAUAUUAGGAGGAACACCAGUGGCGAAGGCGGUCUGCUGGACAGCAACUGACGCUGAGGCGCGAAAGCGUGGGGAGCAAACAGGAUUAGAUACCCGGGUAGUC
rnacentral:rRNA from 1 species